rnacentral:piRNA from 1 species
UCUGCACAUCACGUGCCAAAACAGAGGAGA